CAUCACCUUUGGAGCUCAUCAAUGAAAAGGUGAUAGUGACAUGAGGGUUGAAUCGGACAGCUUCCUACCAUGAUCAAAGAUGCUGUCGGAUCCAAUAAUUCAGCUCAUCAAUAUUAUUGACCCAUCACUCUGUCUUGUAUCUUUCCUCUACUGGACAUUUGUUUCUUGGGAUUAUUGGUUUCGUACUACCCUGCCUACCACAGCUUCCUUGAGGAAUUGAAGUGUGUGAUUAGUGCUGCUGGUACGGUGUACUCUGGGCUUUUGUUUUUCAUACCACUAAGUAUUGGGAUCAGAUCGAGCCUAUGAUAUCACCCUGAUACAUAGAAUGAUCAUAAUCUAAUACGGGUGAGGAUUUGGCCAUAUAAACAUUGGUAGACUCGGUAGACGGGUAGAGC